GAUGAACGCUAGCGACAGGCUUAACACAUGCAAGUCGAGGGGCAGCAUAGAAGUAGCAAUACUUUGGUGGCGACAGGCGCACGGGUGAGUAACGCGUAUGCAACCUACCUAUCAGAGGGGGAUAACCCGGCGAAAGUCGGACUAAUACCGCAUAACACAGGGGCACCGCAUGGUGAUAUUUGUUAAAGAUUAAUUGCUGAUCGAUGGGCAUGCGUUCCAUUAGGUAGUUGUGGAGGUAAAGGCUCACCAAGCCGACGAUGGAUAGGGGAACUGAGAGGUUGGUCCCCCACACUGGUACUGAGACACGGAACAGACUCCUACGGGAGGCAGCAGUGAGGAAUAUUGGUCAAUGGGCGAGAGCCUGAACCAGCCAAGUCGCGUGAAGGAAGAAGGAUCUAUGGUUCGUAAACUUCUUUUGCAGGGGAAUAAAGUGGAGGACGUGUCCUCUUUUGUAUGUACCCUGAGAAUAAGGAUCGGCUAACUCCGUGCCAGCCGCCGCCGUAACAC
rnacentral:rRNA from 1 species